AAAAAUGUUCCAGAGAGUUUUAACUAAGACUGCGACUUAUUUGUUCUUUCUAUAAAAAAAAAGUGAUCGUGUAUUUGUUUAAACAAUUUUAUCCUUGAAUUCUUUAAUCCCUAAAUUUCUUAAAAUAAAAAUGCGUCUCGUGUUAUAGUAUUUUUGAACCAAAUAUGAACGCAUUUCACUAACAUUAUGAAGAAUAAAAUGUUUCUCAAGGGAGGGGAAAAAGAACAUUUCCAUCUUCCCAUAUUACUAAGGCUGUUUUCGAAAAUAUUGAUUACAAUAUUUGCAAAAUAAUACAAAAUAAUUUGUUUCCCACUAAAAGCACUCUCUUCCCUCAAAACCAAACAAUGACAAACACAAGGGAUAUAUGAAAAUAGAAGAAUAAGAAAAUAAAUAUCUAAGAAGAACAAGCACUAGGCAAAAAGAACCACUCUCACACUGCAUUCACACAAAUAUACAAUAAUACACAACAAUGAAUAAACCGAUAACCUAACCCCACAAAUUACAAACUCAACAAACCAAUGCUAAUCAUGGCUAGCAUCUACAGAGAUACCUGUUCUCGCUUGUGAUAUCCGAUUAGCAUAUAUG
rnacentral:misc_RNA from 1 species